UGGAGUCAUGCAUGACUGGUGUGAGCCAUUUGAUACUUAUCCAAGAACGUAUGAUUUAGUCCACGCUGCUGCUCUUUUCUCAGUCGAAAAAAACAGAUGCAACGCGACAACUAUCAUGCUAGAAAUAGACAGAAUUCUUCGUCCCGGGGGACGAGUUUAUAUUCGUGACACCACACCUGUUAUCGAAGAGCUCAUAGAAAUUGUACAGGCCUUAGGAUGGGUGUCAUUUAAAUAUGAUAGCAGCGAGGGACCUCAUUUCAA
rnacentral:misc_RNA from 1 species